GUGCUCACUUUGGCAGCACAUAUACUAAAAUUGGAAUGAUAGAGAGAAGAUUAACAUGGCCCCUGCACAAGGAUGACAUGCAAAUUCGUGAAGCGUUCCAUAUUUAA
rnacentral:snRNA from 1 species